rnacentral:rRNA from 1 species
AGUGAACGCUGGCGGUAGGCCUAACACAUGCAAGUCGAACGGCAGCACAGUAAGAGCUUGCUCUUACGGGUGGCGAGUGGCGGACGGGUGAGGAAUACAUCGGAAUCUACUUUUUCGUGGGGGAUAACGUAGGGAAACUUACGCUAAUACCGCAUACGACCUACGGGUGAAAGCAGGGGAUCUUCGGACCUUGCGCGAUUGAAUGAGCCGAUGUCGGAUUAGCUAGUUGGCGGGGUAAAGGCCCACCAAGGCGACGAUCCGUAGCUGGUCUGAGAGGAUGAUCAGCCACACUGGGACUGAGACACGGUCCAGACUCCUACGAGAGGCAGCAGUGGGGAAUAUUGGACAAUGGGCGCAAGCCUGAUCCAGCCAUACCGCGUGGGUGAAGAAGGCCUUCGGGUUGUAAAGCCCUUUUGUUGGGAAAGAAAAGCAGCAGGUUAAUACCCCGCUGUUCUGACGGUACCCAAAGAAUAAGCACCGGCUAACUUCGUG